UAAUACGGGCUUCGAUAAUACAUCGCACACGAAGGUGAGAUAGCAGAAGCACAAAUCACAUCCCCGCCACCUCUGCUCCCUUCCUCAGGAGCGAUGCCUACACAAGAAGAGCCUCCACAGCAGACCCGUUUGCUCUUGCGUCGCACGCUGAGCACCCGAUUUCCCCUUAUUCUUGGUGAGAUGCGGCUGCCCAGUAUGGCCCCUAGUCCGAGCAUUCCCUAUGAUGUGCUGCUUCGCCGCUACGUGGACCUGCGCGACGCGGCCCGAGAUCUGAUCUCUGCCGACCCGAGGCAGUCGCUCAAUGUGCACGACACCUAUCUGCGUCUCUGUCAAGCCCAUGGCUACCCGCUAGACAAUCACUACCUGGGGUACCUCGCUCGAUACGCCACGGUGCAAGCCGCUAUUACGAGCGGCUCAGCCCGAGAUGUGGUGGACAAGGUGCGUCAUCUCGAUUUUCUUCCCACCUAUGUUGGCAAGCUCGCGUGGAUGCCCAUCUUCGUUACCCUCUCCGACUGCGUUCUCCUUCACUCUUUGUCACUGUCGGGCCAGCAGCUGGACAGUGAUUUAGUGCUUCUCCUUGCCCACAGCCUCCCUCCUCUUGUGCAACUUGCCUGCCUGGACGUAUCUGGCAAUCCGAUCGGCUGCACCGGUGUGCAGGCUCUCAUACGGCUCGUGAAGUCCUCUCCCUCUCUGACGCAGUGCAACAUACACGGCUCUGCAUCGAUUGCACCUCUGACAAGGCGGCUCGAGGCCGCAUUGGCUCGCAAUCAAGAGCGCACAUCUCCGACAGCGGUGGCGAGCCAGUGAUGGUGCCGGCAAUGUCAGCAGCGCACGGGUGUACUUCCUGUACAGCACUCGCUCCUCUCACGGCACGCCCAUGCGAGGAAGGGCUACCGUCUGUCGAUGUGCUUGUAUGUUGUGCCGUCCUUUCUUUGUGUACUGCUCUCUCGCCCUCGCGACUUGUAUGUCUUAUUAUCUGAUCUUUCUUUUCCGUGGAACUGGAACGACUGCGCCGUGGCCUCGUGGAGGACAUC
rnacentral:misc_RNA from 1 species